UUGAGCUUGAUCCUGGCUCAGGACGAACGCUGGCGGCGUGCCUAAUACAUGCAAGUCGAGCGCAGGAAGCCGGCCGAACCCUUCGGGGUGACGCCGGUGGAAUGAGCGGCGGACGGGUGAGUAACACGUGGGCAACCUACCUUGUAGACUGGGAUAACUCCGGGAAACCGGGGCUAAUACCGGAUGAUCAUUUGGAUCGCAUGAUUCGAUGUAAAAGUGGGGAUUUAUCCUCACACUGCAAGAUGGGCCCGCGGCGCAUUAGCUAGUUGGUAAGGUAAUGGCUUACCAAGGCGACGAUGCGUAGCCGACCUGAGAGGGUGAUCGGCCACACUGGAACUGAGACACGGUCCAGACUCCUACGGGAGGCAGCAGUAGGGAAUCAUCCGCAAUGGGCGAAAGCCUGACGGUGCAACGCCGCGUGAACGAUGAAGGUUUUCGGAUCGUAAAGUUCUGUUAUGAGGGAAGAACACGUGCCGUUCGAAUAGGUCGGCACCUGACGUACCUCACGA
rnacentral:rRNA from 1 species